UCGAGGCGCAGCUCCCGGGGCAGGACCUGGAGCACGGCCCCGGCGGCGGAGCGGAGCAGAGGCAGCUCCACCGUCACCACCAGCUCCCGGGGCACCGGGCUGGGCACGGAGUCCCGGCAGCAGCGGUAGUCCUGCAGCUCCACGUGGCCCCGCGGAGGAUGGCGGCGUUGGUGCGGUCGAGGCGGAGGGCGAAGCGGCGCUCCACCGCCUCCAUGGCCGUGUCGCUGAGCAGGCGGCGAAAGCGGGAGCUGCGGGAGGCCAGGCGGAGGGCUGAGGGAUGGAAAACCACGUCGUAAACCAGGCAGCGGCGGUGGCCGCCCCUCAUUAGCUCCUCGCGUCCCGGUGCCAGGCUGUAAGGCAGAGCCCAGCGGUGGCCGCCGGGCUCCCGGCGAGCCUGAGGGCGGUCGAUGUGCGGGUUGCUGCAGAUGUUGAGCCGCCGCUGCUCGGGGUCGGCCAGCUCGGCCGCGUACUCGGCGAACAGUUCGCGGAAACGAGGGUCGCGGAAGGCUUCCCGCAGCCGCUCCGCUUCCUCGGCGCUGAGCUCCAGCUCCUCCGGGCGCCCCGCGGCCGCCAUCGCCUCAGGGGCCGCUCGGGUCGCCGUGGAGACGCCAAACAAGAUGGUGGCCCCCGCCCGUUGCUAUGGUGAUGGCAAACAAGAUGGCGGCCGGGCCCCGCGGCGGGUUGCUGUGAGGGAGCCAUGGUGGUUGGUGGCUCCGUGCGUUCCCCUCGUGGUUUUCCUCAGUGCCCCGGCCGGCCGGGGUGGAAAAGGCGGCAGCUCUCCGUUGUAAGGCAAACCGUGUGGAUAUAUGUAAUAUAUCUUACCUAUAUCUACAUAUAUAGAGAGAUAUAAGCACUGCCUGGCCCUCAGUUCUCUGCCUUUCUGGUUGUUCCUGUGGUGGGAUUUCCAAAAAGCACCCACCAGCCUCCCCAGAAACGUCAAAGGACCAUGUCCUUGUUCCCCGUACACCCCUCCUCACCAUAGCUGCCUAUGUUAUUCGCUAAUUAUAUUGCCCACAGUAAUCAGUGCCUCACAACUUUUCCUUAGACCUUUCCUGUCCAAAGAAAAAUCCCAGCCUGUAUUUCCUGUAUUUGCUGCAAAUAACUAGCUAUCAGUUAAGAAGAGCAUGGCAAAAAACAAAGUUCUCCUUAUCUUCAACUUCCUUUUUAAAGGAUGCCUAUUUUCUAUCUGCUAUAUGUGUUGCUUCCUCCAGUUGCCUUCAUUUAUUACGUUGUGGCGAUCUUCGUUGUGACUCUAUGUUUUAUCUACGCCAACACCAGAAUAUUUUUCUGUAAAAAUUUAUUGACAUACAAAAUAAGCCAUUUUUGGCUUUGACACUCAUUAAGAACAGUCUGUAAUACAUUAUAAAAUCAGUCCAUCUAAAACGAGUGCUACAGUCGACUUUACAAAGACUCCAUCCCUUUUUUGCCAUCUUGUAGGAAAUCACAGCCCCUGAAGCUUGCUGAAAAUACCAAACAAAAACAAUAUUUAGUUAAAAAAUUCACCAUAACUGACAUAUUAUUCUAUUUCUUGAUCUGUGAAAAAUUUCAUAACAUUUUAAACUAUUUAAAGACCUGAAGCAUCUCAUGAUAUUUUCUAUAUUCAAAUAAAGGCUAUAUGAGGUCUAUCUUAGCAAUUCCCUUACGUGGAGAAUUAUACGAUUCUAUUUGAGAAAAAGCUUCUGCAACAAGAUGUGAAAUUGAAUCAGAGACAGACAAGGCAAAUUUCAAGUUCCCGUUGGGUUAUUUCAAACAUGCACAUUUUCCUUGCUGCUGUAAGCCCUUUGAUACUUUUUUGGUGUUGAAGUUGGCCUUUUCUCCAGUUGUUGCAAGAUCACAAUUGGAAUGAAUAAGCACAGAUGUAAAAUACAUGAAAUCAAAGCAUGAGAAGUGGCUUCUGUUUGAUUAUGAUCAUAAAAUGAACCAAAGAUUGUUCCUAAGUGCAAUUAACCUAUGCAAUAAGCAUCAUCUCCAGAAACAGAUUAAAUCUGUCUCCCAACUGGGUCUCAGUUAUUAAAAAUGAUGUAGUACAAUCCAUCUUUCUAUUUUGGAUCAUGCUUCUCAUCACUGUUACUUGACUGUAAUUUCUGAAUUUCUUAUUUUAGUUCUAGGCAUUCUUACACUAAGUACAAAGCGCAAGUCUACGUUAACUGCUAGAACAUUCACUGUUUUUACAGUUGAUUUUCUGUAUUCUUCCUGAUAAUUGGAAAGUCAGCAAAUAAAGAGAUGCUUUCUGUUAAAUGAGAAA